AUGCUUCAGAUACCUUCGCUGAAGAUGCGUACACUGUUGAUCCGGUACAUGGUUGAGAUAUUUGAUCCUAGCAAGGGCAGAUUCAUUGUACAAGACUUGGUUGGCGAAGUGUCUCUCGGUGCCGUGGAUGUUGAGUGCAUCUUGGCCUUGGAGAACCACGGACUGUCGGCAGAAGGUAUUCUCGGUGAGGAAGGUGAGGAUGUUAAAGAUCGAGUGCCGCCUCAAUUCUUGAGCAAGACCACAGGUAACAUAGUCAUCGAUGAUCUGAUUGUGGACAUCACAAAAAAUAAAAUCUGCCGACGACGAUUUCCUUCGGAGAGUUGUCCUCGUGUUGCUUGGAACAGUUCUUGCUCCCAUGUCGAGCAAGACUGUACCAAAGCAAUAUUACGCAUUGGUGGACGAUGUGAAGCAUAUAUCCAAGAUUAA
rnacentral:rRNA from 1 species